GGAUUAGAUACCCUGGUAGUCCACGCCGUAAACGAUGGGCACUAGGUGGAGGGAGGUGCUGACUUCUCUCCGCCGCCGCAAAUGCAUUAAGUGCCCCGCCUGGGGAGUAUGGUCGCAAGGCUAAAACUCAAAGGAAUUGACGGGGGCUCACACAAGCGGUGGAGGAUGUUGUUCAAUUCGAAGCAACGCGAAGAACCUUACCUGGGUUUGACAUGCAGGGAUUAACCUUAUGAAAGUAAGGGGAUUGUCAAUUAUGAUGUAACCUGCACAGGUGCUGCAUGGCUGUCGUCAGCUCGUGCCG
rnacentral:rRNA from 1 species